AUGGUCAUGGACACCACUGACCCGGGCUACUGGCUCAACUGGAGGUUCAUGCUCUGCGCGACCUGGGUCUACUCCUGUAUGGCCCUGGCGUUCUACUUGAUCUGGAAGUACGAGGGGCCAAGUUCGCCGGCCGGCAACGACGAGGGGGGCGACAGAGAGGAGGCUCGGCCCAGGAUCGGACCCGGAGUUGUGUAUCUUGAGGACUGCUGGAAGCCGUGCCUUGAGGAGAUCCAUCCCGCUUGGCUGCUGGCUUUUCGCCUUGUGUCGUUCUUGUUCAUGGCUUCGGUGCUUGUCUCUGAUGUUAUUGUCGAUGGAUGGACCGUCUUCCUUUACUACACUCAGUGGACCUUCUUGCUUGUCACCUUGUACUUUGGGCUUGGUUCGGUGCUUUCUUUCUAUGGAUGUUAUCAGUACGCGUGCAAGACGGCUAAAUCUGAUGGAGAUCAUGGCUCUUAUAUCAUUGCUCCAACGGGGGAAAGUACAUACGACGAUUCCAUCAAAAGUUCUUGUUUCAAUAGAACACAUAAUGGCCGGGAAAUUGCAGGAUUUUGGGGUUAUCUGUUCCAGAUUAUGUUUCAGACAAAUGCAGGUGCUGUGAUGCUUACGGAUAUGGUGUUUUGGUUCAUUCUCUACCCUUUUCUUGCCCGGAAUCAGUAUCAAAUGAAUUUUUUGCUGAUUGGAACACAUUCACUCAAUGCUCUCUUCAUAAUCGGUGAUACUGCUUUGAAUAGCCUGCGUUUUCCAUGGUUUAGAAUAUCAUAUUUCAUGCUCUGGACAGGACUUUUUGUCAGUGUUCAGUGGAUCAUCCAUGCUAAUGUGUCGAUUUGGUGGCCUUACCCAUUCCUAGACUUGACAUACCCUCGAGCACCUGUCUGGUACUUGGUGGUGGCACUGCUUCACUUCCCUUGUUAUGGCCUCUUCGCCCUAGUCCUGAGGAUCAAGAGAUCUCUCCUGGAAAGCUGGUUCCCACAUAGUUACACAUACGUGAAGUAG
rnacentral:rRNA from 1 species